rnacentral:lncRNA from 1 species
AUGAUUGUCUCUCCGUGCUACCAAGGAGAUUGCCCGCACCACUGGCCGGUCCAUGGCACCUAUGGUGGCAGCGGAGAGACGUUACAGGGCACCAAGCUAGCUGCUCUGAGUAUACCAGAGGUCAGUCUCGAGAGACUGAUUCCCUUAGUAGACUAUUUAGCAGCAUGGAAACUAAAGCAAAAUGUGUCUCAGUGGGUCCUGCACACUGUAGAAAGAGGCUACAGAAUCCAGUUUGGUUCUCCACCGCCUCGUUUCAACUGGGUUAUUCCCACACUGGUGGGCCCAGAGCAGGCUCUGGUCAUGGUACAGGAAGUAGACACUCUCUUGAGGAAGGAGGCCAUUGAGGUGGUCCCUCCUCAUGACAGGGAGUCUGGGUUCUACAGCCGGUACGUCAUAGUUCCAAAGAAGGAUGGAGGGUUGUGUCCCAUUUUAGAUCUGCAUCAGCUGAACCGCUCAGUCAUGCGACUGAAGUUCUGGAUGCUCACUCUCAAGCAGGUCGUGUCUCAGAUCAGGUCCGAGGACUGCUUUGUCACGAUUGAUCUAAAAGACGCAUACUUCCAUGUCUCCAUCCUUCCCACUCACAGGAAGGUCCUGAGGUUCGCUUUUGGGGGCAAAGUGUACCAAUAUUCUUCCCUUCGGCCUUGCACUCUCACCCCGCACUUUCACAAAGUGUGUGGAUGCAGCUCAGGCUCCACUGCGACACCAGGGCAUCCGCAUAUCGACGAUUGGUUGAUUUUAGCUCAAUCAGAGCAGACGGUGGUUCAACAUCGAGAUGUAGUUCUCGCCCACAUGAGAGUGCUGGGGUUAAGACUAAACGCCUUGGAAAGUGUGCUUUCUCCAUUACAGAGGACCACUUAUCUGGGCGUGGUGUGGGAUUCAACCAUGAUGCAGGCACGAUUGUCACCUGCUCAGAUCGAGUUGAUCCUGACCGCAGUUGCAAGAGUGAUAGAAGGCUGGUCACUCACUGUCAAGCAGUUUCAAAGACUGCUGGGUCUGAUGGCAGCUGCUUUCAACAUGACACCUCUUGGCCAGCUUUACAUGAGACCCCUACAGUGGUGGCUCAAGACCAAGGGGUUAUCCCUGAGGGCAAACCCACUUCGUAUGAUCAAGGUCACGCAGCAAUGCCUACGUGCCUUGGACAUAUUGAGACCAUCCUCCAAUCCAGAGCUCCCUCCACAAGGAAACUGUAUGCCUUGA